AUGACAACGAUGUAAGCCCGAGAUGUAGUGGCAGUGGUGUGAGAACUGAAAUAAAAUGACAGCGGUGUAAGAACCCAAAUAAAAUGACAAUGAUGUAAGACCGAAAUAAAAUGACAUAAAUAUAAGAACUAGAAUAGAAACGAGAUGGUGUGAGAACCAAUAAAAAGACAACGAUGUAUGAACCAGAAUUAGACGUCAUCGGUGUAAG
rnacentral:lncRNA from 1 species